CAGUAACAGAUUGGUCCCUUUGAUGUAUGGAUUUGUAACAGUGAAAAAAUGGAGCAUUGGUUUGAUUACAGCUCUGGUUUUGAUGAUCGGGUUCUACUUGUUUAACAUUCGCAUUUUGCACAGUUUGCUGAAAGAGACAAACAAACCCUUUCACUUUGCUCAGAUAAGU